rnacentral:misc_RNA from 1 species
GCGGCGUGUGCGGCAAGGCUGAGAUAAUACAUUUCUGAUUCAAGCAAGAACUCCUCAAAGCCAUGGUGCGAUUGAAGCAUAGAUAUUUUGUGCUGGAACUUGCCCCUCCGGGUGAGAAGGCGCACGCCCGCCUGGUUGUCAACGAGGACGCCAUCUACCGGGCCGUUCUAGAAGUUGUGGAUCAGAUUCACGGCGACUAUGGCGUUGCAACGGUGCGAUCACGGCUAAUCGUGAAGUACUGUAACGCCGUCACGCGCGUGGCGUUACUGCGCGUCUCGCACGCCGCCCACCGUCUGCUCGCCUCAGCCCUGCCAUUCAUGACGUCAUUAGAGGGACAGCCAAUCACUCCGCGUACUCUGUACAUGGGAGCCACCAUCAUGCACUGCUUUCGGUUCCUCAAGCGGCACCAGGAGAGCCAUCUAGAGGAGAUGUGGGCGUCGGCCGACCCGCACCGGCGCCACCAGAUGCGCGAGGCCAUCAUGGCCCUAAAGCUGCCGAAUAUCGCCGAGACCCGCGGCCUGCCCGGCGUGUAGGACGGCAGAGGGCGCCACCGUCUUUCAUUGGCUCAUCAGAGACGCUACUUGACCCUGACGUGAGAGUCGGCAGUAGCACGCACUGGCCGAACAAUGGGAUCGGCGCCAUGGCAACCGCCGACAUUCGCAAAUCGCAGCCACAACAGCGGCGGCCGCGCCGUGCAAACCACACUUCGCUGCGUGGUGGCAACGCCAUAAGCCAAGGUGACGACCGAUUAAUACGUGUGCACGUGAAAGACUGUAAGGUGCAAUAGAUAGACGUAUAUGGAUGGAACGUGUCAUUGUUAGCAGUUGGCAUUGAUUUUAAGGCUGCAAUAGGGUAAAGUGGUAAAACUUUGCCCGCAAUGUGUUGCUUGAAUUGCUCGAUUUUGUGCAGUUUUCUAAAAACAGGCAUCAUAAAUGGUGUCUCUGCUGGUGUAUGCCUACCAUACUUCGGACAUAGCGUCGUAUGAAUCCUAGGAACUAACUGUCUACCGGCUAGCUUGCGUAUCAGCGCCGACUGCUGUGUGUCCAAAAUGCAAAGUAGGUACUCAAUAGUUGAUGUCGUCAAUGUCAUUGAUGUCAAUGUCAUAUGUCAUUGAUCGAUGUCUAACUUACAUCCACAAUUGCGCUACCGAAAGUUGCAUGCAAUUUGAUAGGUGUAAGUAGUCUGCUAAGUGUACCUACAGAUGUAUAAUGUUCAACAUUGGUACAUAGGCGCGGGAGCCGGGGGGGCAGUGGGGGCAGCUUGCCCCCCCCCCCCAACUCUGGGGCUGUGGGGGCGGUGCCCCCACAGCUUUGAGACGGAAUACCACACUUUUUUUGCAA